UACUCAUUGAUACUGUAAUCGAGUCUAGCAGCACCUCCACCUGCUUCUGCACGUGUUGGGAGUUGGAAUUGCUCUGGUGUGACCACACAAAGGCUACUGGCAAUCAGCAUGAAAUCAUUAAAAGGUGAGAGGGAGCUGCUGAAAGUUGGUUUGUUAGCUGGUCUUUAGGGCUGAUCCGAGCAUAGAAACAGUGUGUGAGUGGAGAGCUCCAUAAGCAGAGGACAUUAUAACCUGCUGUGGUCCCUCCAGGUUUCCUUCUGUCUAAUAAGUCUUUUUGGAUAGCUGGUGACCCGUUGGACCAACUGCUUUGCCUUCUCUCACCACCUUUUCUUUUCCACGUGAGUGAAACUCUGAAUUCCUUCAGCAUGGGGAAGAGAGGGACUGAAUUUGUCCACAGUUUGGAAAGCUUCCAGAAAAUAAUGACUACGGGAACUAUCAAGUGGUAUUGCAAUGCAAGAAAUGAUUGAUCACACUAAGAUCAGAUUACUCUCUUCCACCAGAUCAAGUACAGGGGAAUAACCUCAGUAUAUUCAUCAUAUGUACUCCACCAAGUAUACACACAAUAUUGUUUCAACUGUUUGGAUUCUGUACAACAUAUGGACAAAAAAACGAUGAACACCAAAAUGAAUAUGGAAUGAAUUCAAGUGGUUGAACCAAUAAACAAGGCUACUGCAGCAUGCAAUCAAGUUUAUUAUGUACAUGAACAAUAAACCUGGCAAAUGGAGUGCUGAUGCCACGACUUACCUUCAGGAAGAGAAAAUAUUAUUAAGGAAAUGUAUGAAGAAAACACAGAAAUGAAUCUUGGAAUACACAGCUUUGACUCCCCUUGUUUUGGAGUACCUGCCUGAAAAGCUCUUCUUUUUCAGUGGUCAACGUGGUUCAAUUUCCAGCUAGGACAUAAUUUGCACAAUAACCUGAAGUUGAAAUUAAUACUCAGAAACAAGCUGUACUGGGCUUAAGAAAAAUCCAUUAAGCUGUCUGCAUUAGAGGAAGAAGCUGACCAAUGGAGUUAAAGCACAUUUGUUAUACUGUAAGAAAAAAGUUUCAGACAAAUAUCACAGGAACCAGGAUGACACUCCAAUAAGAAGGAAAAGUAAUUCACAGCUCCACCUUCACUGCUCUGCUCAGCGAAGACCAAGGACAAAUGGCAGGAAAACCUGGAGUGCUUUGCUGCAGGUCGGGAGUAGCCACUAGGAGGGGCUGACUGCCUUGAAGAGAAGGUACAACCAAGCAUUGUCCAAGAUGUAGACAAUGUCCCAUAUAAGAAGGAUGAGGAUCUGAUGAAGUGAGUCCAGAGGAGGCCUGUGAAGAUGGUGAGAGGACUGAAGCCCCCCUCCUAUGAAGACAGACUGAGAAAGUUGGAGUGUUCAGUCUGGUAAAGAGAACAGCGUGACACUUUCCAGUGCCUAGAGUGGGUCUAUGAGAAAGCUGGAGAGGUAUUUAUUACACGUACUUAUAGGACAAGGUGUAAUGGCUUUAAAGUGAAGAAGGGCAGCUUUAGAUUAGACAUGAGGAAUAAAUUCUUCACUAUGAGGAUGCUGAAGUACCAGGUUGCCCAGAGAAGCGGUGGAUGGCCACGCCUGGAAGAGUUCAAGAUCAGAGUUCCAAUAUGUCCAUGCUCUUGAAAGGGAAGCACCUAAUACACAGCUCAUUUAUCAAGGCAAAAGUGCUUAACUAUGACCCUAAGCACAUGCUGAAGCUUGUUAGUUUAACUGAAGCUACACAAACAUGAUAAAAGGUCUAAUCCCCUGAAGAUGGAGGUGGGUUUCUCCUGUGGUUCAAGUGCUAACCUUGGAUUCACAAGAGAAGAGCUCAAUGUCCUGCUGUGUUACAGACUUCUGGAGCAAGCAGUAUGAUAUUUCAUUUCACCAUCUCUGACAAAGACAUUGUUUCAUCUAUAUUCUAGGGAUUUUGGUCAGGUAAAUGAAUGCAAAUAUUACUGUUCUUAAGAAGAUUACAUUUAAGCUAUACUUAUGUAAGAAUUUAUAUAAAUGCCUCUAUAUUUAAUAAUUUUAACAAAAACUGUAGCCUUUAUUCAAGUCUGAGUUUACAGUUUUCACUAUAUUAGGAGUUUUCCUUGACUAUGUAUGAAAAAAAAUAUUACCCUGGAACUUAGCAAGAUACAUUUUUUCCUAUGUUAUGGUAAAUGAGGAAGUUCAGUUCCAAGGCCAGUAGCAAGCAAAUGUAUUAUUUAAAACGGAAAGAAAAUACAGCCUGCUGGGCAUUCAUUUGCUUAGAGGAGUUCUUUGUAUUUACAGUUCUAGAAAAAAUAUUUCCUUGUAAAACAUCCAGUAAAUACUUUAAAGCAUACAACAUUCCUGCUUACUGAAGGGAGGCAACAGAGAGAUUACUCAAAGGGGAACUGAAACCAGAAAUAAUAACAUAUAAUGGGGAAAAUUUCUGCCACUGUAGUUCAAGAGAAAAUAGUCACCUUCAAAAGAUAAUUCAGAACUUUGGGGGGCUGAAAUCACCUUCAAGGGACACUCUGGGACAUUCAGUUUCUCAAUUUGGCAAUCUCAAUUAGGUAUGUAAAGUUAAACCAUUAUGAUUUUGCCCAUUUCUCUCCCACCUCUGUUUUAUUUUACUAUUGUUUGAAAAGAUUAUCCAGUGUGAUAUAACAGCAUUAGCUGUGACUCUCUUUUAUCUCCAAAAUCCUCAUGCUAUCCUCCUCCAAAUUUGUUGCUAACAGUCCCACUAAUGAGUCACUGUGAAAUCAUUUCACAGACAUACUCUGAAAUGCUCAGUGUACUCAAGAGCAGGAGAAUUAUAUGCAUUUUAUGGCACUGUAGGAAGUUUUAAAAGGAUUUGAAUUAUUUCUUACUUCUGUCUUUUUCUUACCUUAAUGAGAAAAAGUAAGAAAAAACCAAACAAAACAACCACACUCCCACAUUCUCCCUUUCAAUUUCUCCUCAGCAAGACUACAAUUCUCCAGAGCUGAUUUUCCUAAUAGAGUCCUCCCUGACUAUGUUGGACAAAUGUCAUGUCCCCUGGCUCUCUCCAUCUUGUAAUGAAAAUAGACCUAUUGCCAGCUACACCUUGCUGAUUGCUUCCUACCUGCUGCUAAGGAUAAUUUGUGCAGUGUAAAUGAAGGCUUCAGUAGCUGCUGUAGGGGAAAAAAGCUACAAAAAGGGGCUGCUAUUCAGCACUCACAUAAAAUAGCCAAUAAAGAAAAAGUUCUGAUUAGCUGUAAAUGUGUAACGUGUAUAAAGUACAUGAUAGAUCUUCAAGUUUUCACAGUAUUAAUUAUAUCAGACAUCAUACAGAAAUGUUUUGCCCUGGAAAAUGAAUCACAUGUAUUUGCAUAUUUUCAUUUGCCUGAUCCUAUAUCAAGAAUAUUUGUGUAUUUGUUUUCUUCAUUGUUCUGUCAUAUAUUUCCUCCUGGAUGGCUUCCUAUUGUUUGAAAGUAAGCAUAAAAAGGAAUUCACCAAUAUUUCCCUUCAGAAUAUUGUGACCAUUUGGAAUGCAGAUGUUCAUGUUUCCUAUUUUCCCCCAAAUAAUCUUUCAGAUAACCUCUUACCUCUGAAGGAAUCAAAGAGACAGAAGCAUUACAUGUGCAUCACAGAAAAUGAUGAGUUGGAGUAGGAGAGUGAAAUAGUGGCAGCUCCAGAGAGCAACACUGCUGUGUAUGACCUCAGAUCCACCUGGUUUGGCCCAUCUCUGCUGUGCAAUAGGUUGUGCUGCCUUCUGUUUGUCCCAUGCUAUGAGAACAAUGUGAUGCCUAUGUGGAUGCAAGAGCCUUUAUCAUAUAUUUUUGCCCAUUCAUGUGUGUAAAUAAA